GACGGAGGAUGCAAGCGUUAUCCGGAAUGAUUGGGCGUAAAGCGUCCGCAGGUGGCAGUUCAAGUCUGCUGUCAAAGACCGGGGCUUAACUUCGGAAAGGCAGUGGAAACUGAACAGCUAGAGUAUGGUAGGGGCAGAGGGAAUUCCUGGUGUAGCGGUGAAAUGCGUAGAGAUCGGGAGGAACACCGGCGGCGAAGGCGGCUGCCUGGACCGGCCCUGACGCUGAGGCGCGAAAGCUAGGGGAGCAAACAGG
rnacentral:rRNA from 1 species